GAAUAUUUAUAUUUAUGUUGAGUUUUGGUAUGAAUUAGAACAUUAUAUACCAAAAUUAGGCAAGUUGAAAGAUAAAACAAAAUCAAUUCAUUUUGCCUAAAUAGAAAUAUACUUCUCUUCUCCUUUUUACAAAUUUAUUCAACUUUCAGAUUUUAACGAUGAUUGUGAACGACAAAUCUGAAAUUUCUUUUCAAUAAUACCAAACAAAAGAAAUUAGUAGUAUUUCAAACAUUCAAUCAAAUUGUCCAAGCAUGGAGCAUUACAAAAUAUUGAGAACCCAUAAUUUAAGACAUCAUGCCACAUGCAAAAUAUAUUAUGUGUUAAGUCAUGCAUUAAAAUAACAAGCAUGUCAAUGAUCAAAAUCAAUUCUUUUCAAAUAAACUCUCCCUAUUUAAAUAUAAUCUUGCACUGAUUUCAUCCUUAAGGUGUGUUUCCAAGUGAUUAAAGCUUGACUUGAUUCUUCUUAGAUACUUUCAUUUACUUUGUCAUUCAUUUUUACUUUCUUAUGCUCUAUACUCU
rnacentral:lncRNA from 1 species